AAACUACAAUAUUAUUGUAAAUUUGCAAUAAUUGCAAAUUCCAAUUAUUGGAAGCUGCAAAAGGGACAUUAGAAUGUCAGCAAGAUCGGAACAAUUUUCGAUUUAAGUGGAAUUUACGGAAGGUGCAAAGAUUUGACCUCACAACUAAUCCGCAAAAUGAAGAAGCAACAUAUUUUGUUACCGCUUAGAAGAAACAAUAGAAAUAGUACUGUGGUUUGAUAAAUAAAGAGUGAAAAUAAGGUUGACUAGAAGUUGAUAAAGAAUAGAAGGAUAGUCCAAGGAAUUAAAAAACAAUAGAAAAAAAACGUAGACUAGUGUGAGCACUGAAAUUAGAGUUUGAUUUAAGCUUUAAUUAGGUUUGGUGUUUGUGCUUGAACAUUUUUAAUGUCAAUUUGUAAGCAGAUUUAUAUAAAAGUGUAGAUUUUAUUAGUGAUUUGCUACUAGUUGGAAUUAUCUCUGUUUAUGUCCAACAAACAAUUUCAGUUUAAGUUAGAGUCAAAGGUUGAUUGUUUAUAAUAAAUUUAUACUUUUAGAAAGUGAGAAUUGAAAAGCAGCAAGUACUCAAUGAAAUGAAAAGAGGGAUUAAUAAAAAUUAUAAAAUAGAAAC